rnacentral:lncRNA from 1 species
AAUGAUAAAAGUUUCGUGAUGUUUCAUACCCACUUGCUUUAAUUAGCCUUAAUUGCUACAGUAGGCAAGUCGCAGAUGAACUGAGCGCUCUGUCACCGCAUCUCGGGGGCUGCCGGGUGGAUAAACGGCACCGCACCGCGCUCCGGCAGCAGCGCUGCCUGCUCUGCCCCAGACAGCUUAUUUACUGCGGGCUGAAUAAAUAUCAGUUGUUAAUUAGAGCGCGUUUAUUGAGAUGCAUGCGUCCCUAACACACAUUUGUAAAGCUUCAGUGUAAAUAGAUUCAUCCUAAUUUGGGUGGGAAGCGGUCGAGCAGAGGCGCGGCGGCGCUGCGUUGCAGUGGGGUGAGGGGACGCAGGGGAUGCGUGGGGCUGCUUGGCAGCAGCUCAUGUGGGGCAGUGGCCGUCCCGUGGGGUCCGCCUGUGGGUCCCAGGGCUGGGCCUGAGGGAACUGUGAGCGGAGGGGCAUCCCGGGAGGACACCGUGUUCCUCACACUGCUGCAUUUCAGGCCAACGACAGCUGUCACUGCUGCCAGCACCUGGGUCACCCUCUCUGUGCCUCAGUCCCCCCCCGUGCCCCACUGUCCCAGUGUCCUCUCUGUGCUCCGGUAUCCUCCCACACCACAACGUCCCCACAGUGCCUCAGUUGUGCUGCGGUGCCCCGAUGUCCCGCUGUGCCCCCGUGUCUCAGUGUCUCCAUGGGACGAGGAGCCGCUUCCCAUAGACGGGAGCAGGGCGCGGGGCUCGCUCCCCCAGGACACCCCGGGGGUGAAUGGGGAGGGGGCGGGGGGGCGGUGUGCCGUUGCCGGGACCCCUGCGUGGGGGCGGUCCGGCCGGGAGGGAGAGGAGGAAGAGGAGGAGGAAGGCGGGAGCGAAGGAGGGCGGUGGUUCUGCCCUACCCCCCCGCCCCGUGCAGGGGAGGAGGAGGGCGGGCAGCGGCCGGGGGCGGCUCGGGCCCCCCCGGAGGGAGGCGGGGAAGGCGGCGACGGGGGCGGACGGACGGACGGACGGACGGACGGACGGAGAGCAGUGCCCGGAGCUCAGCGCCCGGCCCGAGCCGCACCGAGCCCGGCAGGAAGCUUCCCAGCACAGGGAAUGGCCAUACCAUCGCCCACCUGCCUGAC